rnacentral:rRNA from 1 species
AUUGAACGCUGGCGGCAGGCCUAACACAUGCAAGUCGGGCGGAUGAAGGGAGCUUGCUCCUGGAUUCAGCGGCGGACGGGUGAGUAAUGCCUAGGAAUCUGCCUGGUAGUGGGGGAUAACGUCCGGAAACGGGCGCUAAUACCGCAUACGUCCUGAGGGGGAAAGUGGGGGAUCUUCGGACCUCACGCUAUCAGAUGAGCCUAGGUCGGAUUAGCUAGUUGGUGGGGUAAAGGCCUACCAAGGCGACGAUCCGUAACUGGUCUGAGAGGAUGAUCAGUCACACUGGAACUGAGACACGGUCCAGACUCCUACGGGAGGCAGCAGUGGGGAAUAUUGGACAAUGGGCGAAAGCCUGAUCCAGCCAUGCCGCGUGUGUGAAGAAGGCCUUCGGAUUGUAAAGCACUUUAAGUUGGGAGGAAGGGCAGUAAGUUAAUACCUUGCUGUUUUGACGUUACCAACAGAAUAAGCACCGGCUAACUUCGUG